UGUUUGUGAGGCUGAACUGGA
rnacentral:misc_RNA from 1 species